AGUGAACGCUGGCGGCAGGCCUAACACAUGCAAGUCGAACGGCAGCACAGCAGUAGCAAUACUGUGGGUGGCGAGUGGCGGACGGGUGAGGAAUACAUGGGAAUCUGCCCUGUCGUGGGGGAUAACGUAGGGAAACUUACGCUAAUACCGCAUACGACCGAGAGGUGAAAGCGGCGGACCGCAAGGCGUCGCGCGAUUGGAUGAGCCCAUGUCGGAUUAGCUAGUUGGCGGGGUAAAGGCCCACCAAGGCGACGAUCCGUAGCUGGUCUGAGAGGAUGAUCAGCCACACUGGAACUGAGACACGGUCCAGACUCCUACGGGAGGCAGCAGUGGGGAAUAUUGGACAAUGGGCGCAAGCCGAUCCAGCCAUGCCGCGUGAGUGAAGAAGGCCUUCGGGUUGUAAAGCUCUUUUGUCCGGAAAGAAAAGCCUUCGGUUAAUACCCGGGGGUGAUGACGGUACCGGAAGAAUAAGCACCGGCUAACUUCGUGCCAGCCGCCGC
rnacentral:rRNA from 1 species